UUUCUCAUUCCUUAUCUUCGAAGAAAUCUCUAAUCAAAAACCCUAAACACAAAAACAAAUCCCUCAAAUUGAAAGGGGAUUUGUUGAGUAUGAAGGGUUUUUUUUUAUAGAGGAGGGUGUGUACUGAGUGCAGAAUUAGAGGCUGCCGAGAUUGGUUAGGAGCAAAGAUGCAGAGCUGCUGCAACUGUGCUGCGCCUGCCCACUUUCUGACUAGUGGCAGCGUUUGGUUAUGAGCUGAGAAGUGCAGGAGUUGCUGCUAUAUUGCCCCUUUUGGCAAGCCUCUGGUCUUCCACCUAAAGGUUCUUGUAUUCCAAGGAGAAAGUGAAGUUUGGUUGGCUGUGGCCGCUGGUAGUCCUCGGCGAACAGACCGCACUCACGGCUAGAAAUAGAGACGACUUGGGUUCGUGAAGAAUAGAUACAAGGCGUCUCCACUUUGAUAUUCCUAUG